UUAUUUUUAAGAGCCGCGGUAUUUCUGACUGUGCAAAGGUAGCAUAAUCGUUAGUUUUUUAAUUGAAAUCUUGUAUGAAUGGUUUGACAAAAAAAAGACUGUCUUUAUAAUUAUUAAUUGAAUUUAACUUUUAAGUGAAAAGGCUUAAAUAAAUUAAAAAGACGAUAAGACCCUAUAAAGCUUUAUAUUAAUUUAUUAUUUAAUAAAAUUUUUUUAGUAUAAAUAUUUGGUAAUAGAUUUUAUUUUAUUGGGGUGAUAAUGGUAAAAUGAUUAAUAACUGUUAAUUUCGUUAAAACAAAAAUAAAUGAAUAAAUUGUAUUUAAUAAAUGAUCCUAUUUAAAGAUUUAAAGUUUAAGUUACUUUAGGGAUAACAGCGUUAUUUUUUUUGAGAGUUCUUAUCGAGAAAAAAGUUUGCGACCUCGAUGUUGA
rnacentral:rRNA from 1 species